rnacentral:rRNA from 1 species
GACGAACGCUGGCGGCGUGCUUAACACAUGCAAGUCGAACGGAAAGGCCCUGCUUUUGUGGGGUGCUCGAGUGGCGAACGGGUGAGUAACACGUGAGUAACCUGCCCUUGACUUUGGGAUAACUUCAGGAAACUGGGGCUAAUACCGGAUAGGAGCUCCUGCUGCAUGGUGGGGGUUGAAAAGUUUCGGCGGUUGGGGAUGGACUCGCGGCUUAUCAGCUUGUUGGUGGGGUAGUGGCUUACCAAGGCUUUGACGGGUAGCCGGCCUGAGAGGGUGACCGGCCACAUUGGGACUGAGAUACGGCCCAGACUCCUACGGGAGGCAGCAGUGGGGAAUAUUGCACAAUGGGCGGGAGCCUGAUGCAGCAACGCCGCGUGCGGGAUGACGGCCUUCGGGUUGUAAACCGCUUUCGCCUGUGACGAAGCGUGAGUGACGGUAAUGGGUAAGGAAGCACCGGCUAACUACGUG